AUUGUGUAACUAUCCUACAUCUCC
rnacentral:siRNA from 1 species